AACGAACGCUGGCGGCAUGCUUAACACAUGCAAGUCGAACGUUAUCUUCGGAUGGCGUGGCGGACGGGUGAGUAACACGUGGGAACCUGCCCAGAGGUACGGGAUAACCCAGGGAAACUUGGGACAAUACCGUAUGUGACCUGAGGGUGAAAGGUUUAUCGCCUUUGGAUGGGCCCGCGUCGGAUUAGGUAGUUGGUGGGGUAAAGGCCUACCAAGCCGACGAUCCGUAGCUGGUCUGAGAGGAUGAUCAGCCACACUGGGACUGAGACACGGCACAGACUCCUACGGGAGGCAGCAGUGGGGAAUAUUGGACAAUGGGCGCAAGCCUGAGCCAGCAAUGCCGCGUGAGUGAUGAAGGCCUUAGGGUUGUAAAGCUCUUUCACCCACGACGAUGAUGACGGUAGUGGGAGAAGAAGCCCCGGCUAACUUCGUGCCAGCCGCCGCCGUAAUAC
rnacentral:rRNA from 1 species